rnacentral:RNase_P_RNA from 1 species
UAAGUCAGCCGGACAGCCGCGCGGAGAAAUUCGUGAGGAAAGUCCGAGCUCCACAGGGCAUGAAUAGCGGGUAACACCCGCCGAAGGCGACUUUAGGACAAGUGCAACAGAAAGAAAAACCGCCGUGUUUUCACGGUAAGGGUGGAAGGGUGAGGUAAGCGCUCACCGGCCCUUUAGGAGACUAAGGGGCGCUGUAAACUCUAUUCGGAGCAACAUCGACUCGGGAAUCAAGCCUGCCCGGCGCUCCCGGACGGAUGGCAUGAGGCGGUCGGCAACGAACGUCCCAGAUAGAUGGCUGUCAAAACAGAACUCGGCUUACGGGCUGACUUAUGCU